UUUACAGGGGUCCUGGAGACUGUUCACACAUGUGGACUUGAGGGAAAGAUCUGAUAACUGGCAGGCGAAUGGCUCUCCAAAUAAUGCCAUCAUGCCCUUCCUGAGAGUUCCUUCAAACUGCCCAAGAUCCUACCAUCUGAUGACAGAUGACCCUGAUGGUGAUCGGGUGAUUUGCAGAUACGGAACCAUCUUAAACAGAGAAUGCGCUACAUGCAAUCAACCCCAAGGUUUUGAGCUGGAUGAGAGAAACUGUGUCCUACACUACCGUUCCACAUCAUACACUGGGACGUAUGGGUUUGAGUUGGUGCUGGAAGACUUUCCAAGAACCACCAUCUCCUUGAUCUCCACAAAUGGAACUUCAACUCAGAGAUUACCUUUGCCUUCAAACAGAAACAAACGUUCAAUA